CCGCCGCGCAGCUGGCGGCGAUACGGCGCAGCCUGACGAGCGGCCGGGGCGCCCUCAGCCGCCGUUCGAUGCUGCGCGCGGGCGGC
rnacentral:tRNA from 1 species